UUGUGAAUAUAUUUCAUGUAACAAAAGAAACAACGAAAGUGUUUCACAAGAGACGCUGAGAAAAGUCAAUUGGAUUUUUAAAUGUUUAUUAAGAUUCGAUUGAAUGAAUCGAUGCAAGAGGAAAGAAGUUUGCUACAAUGUUAAUUAGAAAGUAAUGUGCGACAAUCCCAUUGAUGUUUGUAUGUACCUACGCACACGUCUGUAUGUAUAUGUGUGGUUCGAUGUGUGUGCGCGCGCGCGUCUCGCCAAGCGAAAAGAAAAAAUCCGAUUCAUGACGAUUCAAGUUAAUCAAGAAGAAGAUGAUGCCAAUGAGAGAAGGGUACAGAAGAGAAAGAGAAAAGAGAACGAGCCGAAAAUAAGAAGAAAGGCAGGCUGGUUGGUCCAGUGUUGUCACGUGACCGGAAGUGGCCUUUUCCCCACCCUUCAACUCCACCUUCGAUGUGGAGACCUGUACGCGUUCCCCCCUUUUUCCUUCCUCUGGCUUCAUCCGGUUAGCGAUGGGUAUUAAAUUCCGUCCGCUGUUUUUUUAAUAAUUCAUAGAAGAGAGCAAUUGUCAGAAUAUAAUAUAUUCUUUAGAAUAUUAAAUGGACUAUUACAAAUACAAAAAAAGUGUGUUUUAGAAAGUUUUCCUCAGAGAAAUUUUCAAUUGCAUUCGACUCGAUGCAUUCCGAUAACGAUAUGAACGAUAAUGUCUUCAGUUUGAUUUUGUGACACGAUGACAAUACCACUAAAAAGAAACAAGCGAAAGAUAAACUUGUCACGUGAUACAAACAUGGACCUAAUACAAGAAAGCACAAACUUAUCACGUGACUCCACAAACUUCGACACGAGACACAAGAAAGUGUCUCCAUUUAUACCAUUCAUAUCAUUCAUUUAUAUCAUUUGUACCAUUCAUAUCAUUCGGAUAAACAAUAGUCAAAUUUAUGUUAAAUCAGAUUUUCUUAUGAUAGUUUUUUUCGCAGAAAUAUACCAAAUCAUGGAAUACUAGAGUAGCAAGUUGAAGUCGUAGAGUAGCAAGCCACUCAACGAGAGUCAAAUAGAAGCAGCCAUUGUACGAAUGCGUUCGAAGCGCAUCGUCGCGGAAACGUAAAAAUCUUAACCAAUAAUGCGGUCGAGGAAAGAAUUGAGACUGAUAGAGAGGUGUUCGUAGAAUGCUUGCGAUAUUCCAAGAAUUGCAUGAUAUUUCUAGUGUCGUUCUAUCAACAUCAUAUUGAUCAUUAUUCGUAUAUGUGGUAAGUAGGUGGAAAGGAGAAUGGAAUGAGUAUGUGCAUGAUACUCACGGACAAAUCAUCAAUAAACUUUUCAAGAAAAUCGAUGGAGAGAGAAUUUCAAGAAAUUUUAAACACGUUUCGAUUUUUAAUGACGUUUCGAUCAUGAUAUUUGAAGUAACCAAAUAUUUUUACGAGAUUUAUCGAAGAUAGAAGAUUAAAACGAAAGCAUUCGAAAUGUUCAUCAUAGAAUUCAUGAGAUUCUUAUUUAAAUCACAAAAAAAAAAUACUUCGAUAUAAAAUUAAUCUUGAUUCAUUGGAAUCACGAUGGAAUCGAUCAAAUUUCAUUGAUACAUUCGAAUGUUCGAUCUACGACCUUGAAAAAAAAUAUUGAAGAUAUAUGUAAGUAGAUUGACAACUUACAUCCCUAACCUAAAAAAUUGUUGUGUAAUAAUUUAUGCGAAUGUCUAAUUACUAAUAGUAGAUGAAGUUUUAAUUGAAUUCGCAUAUAAGAAAGAGACGAAACGGGUUUUUAUUUGAUCUGAUGCGAUAAAUGCGAUAGCAUGCAGUUAGCGGGGUUAGCGUGAUGUUUUCGCGACAGGGUGUGCGAGUGUUCUAUAUUAAACUCGGCGAACGCUGGUAGGCCGAUUGCGAAACGGACGGCUGAUAUUUUCGUUACAUCGCACGAGUAACUGCUUCCGGCCGAGUAUUCCCUCUCUCUCUUUCUCUCUCUUUCUCUUGCUCCCUUCCUCUCAGUCCCUCUGUAUACGAUGGGCGUCCUUCCACUCGCAUCCUGCUUUUCCACUCGCUCACCCGCUGGCAGACUCUAUUUUUCUCGCUUUGCUCGCUAGUUCUCUUAUUCGCCAACUCGCUCUUCUCUCGCUUCAUACCGCUCUCUCAUCUGAUCGUUCUCUUUCUCUCUUUUUUCUUCUUUUUCUUCUUUUCUUUCUCCUCUCUUUCUAUUCUCUCUCUUACUAUUUCUUCGUUCUUGUGCUUGUAAGAGAUCGGGUAGAUGCCCGUGCUUCAGCCGGCCGGAAACACCUACGCAUCGUGGUAGCGUGCGAGGUGAUGCUCAGCGAUGGGAACGACCACCUCACGAGAUUUCUUUCAACAGAGUUGAAAAAUGUAAUUCUCGUUUCUUGCCGAUAAAUAUAUUGAUAUUCAAUUUUCUAUAAAAUCAUUAUUAAAGUUAUUAAAGUUUGAUUUUACAAUUAUUUAAGUUAAACUUUGAAGUAUCUUUGAAUUUUUUUCUAUGUAUCUUUUUAUAUUUUGUGAUAAUAUUCGAUGAAUAUUGAUGAAAUAUACUAGUUUUGACUGUUAGAAUCUGUAUUGAUUUGAAAACAUAUUAUGCAUAUUUAAAAUUUAAUUAUAUUUAGCGUAAGUUAGGUUAGAUUAAUAUCGUAUUGGCAUCCUGGCACCCUUUCCUGGAUGAGAAAUUUUAUGAUGAAUUUGAAAAUCGACAUUACAUAAAUAUUUAUUAUAUAUUAUAUAUUAUUAACGAUUUAGCGAUCUAAUUAUUAAUA